rnacentral:tRNA from 1 species
GCGCCAGUAGCUCAGUGGAUAGAGUAUCUGACUACGAAUCAGAGGGUCGCAGGUUCGAAUCCUGCCUGGCGCACCA